rnacentral:rRNA from 1 species
CGCAGCCGCGGUAAUUCCAGCUCCAAUAGCGUAUAUUAAAGUUGCUGCAGUUAAAAAGCUCGUAGUUGAAUUUCGGGACUAAUAUGUCGGUCGUGCCUCGGUACGUACUGGUAUUUUGGUUCUCCCUUCUGACGAACCUUGAUGUCAUUAAUUUGGUGUCUUGGGGAAUCAGGACCCGUUACUUUGAAAAAAUUAGAGUGUUUAAAGCAGGCUCACGCUUGAAUACAUUAGCAUGGAAUAAUGGAAUAGGACGUUUGAUUCUAUUUUGUUGGUUUCUAGGAUUGACGUAAUGAUUAAUAGGGAUAGUUGGGGGCAUUAGUAUUCAAUUGUCAGAGGUGAAAUUCUUGGAUUUAUUGAAGACUAACUACUGUGAAAGCAUUUGCCAAGGAUGUUUUCAUUAAUCAAGAACGAAAGUUAGGGAU